rnacentral:rRNA from 1 species
UAAGCGGAAAAAGCGGAGCCGUAGCGAAAGCGAGUCUGAAUAGGGCGCAUAAGUAACAGGUCGUAGACCCGAAACCAGGUGAUCUACCCAUGUCCAGGAUGAAGGUAAGGUAAUACUUACUGGAGGUCCGAACCCACGCACGUUGAAAAGUGCGGGGAUGAGGUGUGGGUAGCGGAGAAAUUCCAAUCGAACUUGGAGAUAGCUGGUUCUCUCCGAAAUAGCUUUAGGGCUAGCCUCGAGGUAAAGAGUCAUGGAGGUAGAGCACUGUUUGGACUAGGGGCCCUUCUCGGGUUACCGAAUUCAGAUAAACUCCGAAUGCCAUGUACUUAUACUCGGGAGUCAGACUGCGAGUGAUAAGAUCCGUAGUCGAAAGGGAAACAGCCCAGACCACCAGUUAAGGUCCCCAAAUAUAUGUUAAGUGGAAAAGGAUGUGGGGUUGCUUAGACAACCAGGAUGUUGGCUUAGAAGCAGCCACCAUUGAAAGAGUGCGUAAUAGCUCACUGGUCGAGUGACCCCGCGCCGAAAAUGUACCGGGGCUAAACAUAUUACCGAAACUGUG